GAUGAACGCUGGCGGCGUGCCUAAUACAUGCAAGUCGAGCGAACAGACGAGGAGCUUGCUCCUCUGACGUUAGCGGCGGACGGGUGAGUAACACGUGGAUAACCUACCUAUAAGACUGGGAUAACUUCGGGAAACCGGAGCUAAUACCGGAUAAUAUAUUGAACCGCAUGGUUCAAUAGUGAAAGACGGUUUUGCUGUCACUUAUUGAUGGAUCCGCGCCGCAUUAGCUAGUUGGUAAGGUAACGGCUUACCAAGGCAACGAUGCGUAGCCGACCUGAGAGGGUGAUCGGCCACACUGGAACUGAGACACGGUCCAGGCUCCUACGGGAGGCAGCAGUAGGGAAUCUUCCGCAAAGGGCGAAAGCCUGACGGAGCAACGCCGCGUGAGUGAUGAAGGUCUUCGGAUCGUAAAACUCUGUUAUUAGGGAAGAACAAAUGUGUAAGUAACUAUGCACGUCUUGACGGUACCUAAUCAGAAAGCCACGGCUAACUACGUG
rnacentral:rRNA from 1 species